GAGUUUGAUCCUGGCUCAGGAUGAACGCUGGCGGCGUGCCUAACACAUGCAAGUCGAACGGAGCUGAGAGGAGCUUGCUUUUCUUAGCUUAGUGGCGAACGGGUGAGUAACGCGUGAGUAACCUGCCCUGGAGUGGGGGACAACAGUUGGAAACGACUGCUAAUACCGCAUAAGCCCACGAUCCGGCAUCGGAUUGAGGGAAAAGGAUUUAUUCGCUUCAGGAUGGACUCGCGUCCAAUUAGCUAGUUGGUGAGGUAACGGCCCACCAAGGCGACGAUUGGUAGCCGGACUGAGAGGUUGAACGGCCACAUUGGGACUGAGACACGGCCCAGACUCCUACGGGAGGCAGCAGUGGGGAAUAUUGCACAAUGGGGGAAACCCUGAUGCAGCGACGCCGCGUGAAGGAAGAAGUAUCUCGGUAUGUAAACUUCUAUCAGCAGGGAAGAUAGUGACGGUACCUGACUAAGAAGCCCCGGCUAACUACGUGCCAGCCGCCGCGGUAAUUC
rnacentral:rRNA from 1 species